CCUACGGGAGGCAGCAGUGGGGAAUAUUGGGCAAUGGGCGCAAGCCUGACCCAGCAACGCCGCGUGAAGGAAGAAGGCUUUCGGGUUGUAAACUUCUGUCGGCAGGGAAGAGUAGAAGACGGUACCUGACGAAUACGCCACGGCUAACUACGUGCCAGCAGCCGCGGUAAUACGUAGGUGGCAAGCGUUGUCCGGAUUUACGGUGUGUAAAGGGCGUGUAGCCGGGUUGACAAGUCAGAUGUGAAAUCCUGCGGCCUAACCGCAGAACUGCAUUUGAAACUGUUGAUCUUGAGUACUGGAGAGGCAGACGGAAUUCCUAGUGUAGCGGUGAAAUGCGUAGAUAUCAGGAGGAACACCAGUGGCGAAGGCGGUCUGCUGGACAGCAACUGACGGUGAGGCGCGAAAGCGUGGGGAGCAAACAGGAUUAGAUACCCGGGUAGUC
rnacentral:rRNA from 1 species